rnacentral:tRNA from 1 species
GGGCCUCUAGCUCAGCUGGUCAGAGCGCUUGCAUGGCAUGCAAGAGGUCAAGGGUUCAAAUCCCUUGAGGUCCA